AUUGAACGCUGGCGGCAUGCCUUACACAUGCAAGUCGAACGGUAACAGGUCUUCGGAUGCUGACGAGUGGCGAACGGGUGAGUAAUACAUCGGAACGUGCCUAGUAGUGGGGGAUAACUACUCGAAAGAGUGGCUAAUACCGCAUGAGAUCUACGGAUGAAAGCAGGGGAUCGCAAGACCUUGUGCUACUAGAGCGGCCGAUGGCAGAUUAGGUAGUUGGUGGGAUAAAAGCUUACCAAGCCGACGAUCUGUAGCUGGUCUGAGAGGACGAUCAGCCACACUGGGACUGAGACACGGCCCAGACUCCUACGGGAGGCAGCAGUGGGGAAUUUUGGACAAUGGGCGCAAGCCUGAUCCAGCAGUGCCGCGUGCAGGAUGAAGGCCUUCGGGUUGUAAACUGCUUUUGUACGGAACGAAAAGCCCUGGGUUAAUACCCUGGGGUCAUGACGGUACCGUAAGAAUAAGCACCGGCUAACUACGUGCCAGCAGCCGCCGCGGUAA
rnacentral:rRNA from 1 species